rnacentral:tRNA from 1 species
GGGCGUGUAGCUCAGCUGGUCUAGAGCAUCUCGUUUACACCGAGAGGGUCACAGGUUCGAACCCUGUCACGCCCACCA